rnacentral:rRNA from 1 species
GACGAACGCUGGCGGCGUGCUUAACACAUGCAAGUCGAACGGUAAGGCCCUUCGGGGUACACGAGUGGCGAACGGGUGAGUAACACGUGGGUGAUCUGCCCUGCACUUCGGGAUAAGCCUGGGAAACUGGGUCUAAUACCGGAUAGGACCACUGCCUGCAUGGGUGGUGGUGGAAAGCUUUUGCGGUGUGGGAUGGGCCCGCGGCCUAUCAGCUUGUUGGUGGGGUGAUGGCCUACCAAGGCGACGACGGGUAGCCGGCCUGAGAGGGUGACCGGCCACACUGGGACUGAGAUAUGGCCCAGACUCCUACGGGAGGCAGCAGUGGGGAAUAUUGCACAAUGGGCGCAAGCCUGAUGCAGCGACGCCGCGUGAGGGAUGACGGCCUUCGGGUUGUAAACCUCUUUCAGCACCGACGAAGCGCAAGUGACGGUAGGUGCAGAGAAGGACCGGCCAACUACGUGCCAGCCGCCGCAGUAA